rnacentral:rRNA from 1 species
GAUGAACGCUGGCGGCGUGCCUAAUACAUGCAAGUCGAGCGAACAGACGAGGAUCUUGCUCCUCUGACGUUAGCGGCGGACGGGUGAGUAACACGUGGAUAACCUACCUAUAAGACUGGGAUAACUUCGGGAAACCGGAGCUAAUACCGGAUAAUAUAUUGAACCGCAUGGUUCAAUAGUGAAAGACGGUUUUGCUGUCACUUAUAGAUGGAUCCGCGCCGCAUUAGCUAGUUGGUAAGGUAACAGCUUACCAAGGCAACGAUGCGUAGCCGACCUGAGAGGGUGAUGGGCCACACUGGAACUGAGACACGGUACAGACUCCUACGGGAGGCAGCAGUAGGGAAUCUUCCGCAAUGGGCGAAAGCCUGACGGAGCAACGCCGCGUGAGUGAUGAAGGUCUUCGGAUCGUAAAACUCUGUUAUUAGGGAAGAACAAAUGUGUAAGUAACUAUGCACGUCUUGACGGUACCUAAUCAGAAAGCCACGGCUAACUACGUG